rnacentral:lncRNA from 1 species
CGCGGAGCCCCGCACGCGCUCCCUGCGGCGCCGGCGCUGGCGUCCGCCGCUCCCGGGCUGUGCCUGUCUGCUCCACGGGGUCGCUCCUCAGCCGUUUCUGUGUUUCCCGUUCCUAUUUCUAAAACGCCAUUCGGUUAGAAACUCUCACGUCACCUCUGACACCGGUGCAGUCUUAGAAAAUAAGCUCCUCUAUACUGUGUGGGGCUACUGGGGAAGGGAAGGGAAGGAAUUGGCACCGGUGCCCAGAGGUGUAGGGGGAGAUUCACAGGCGAAGCUGUUCGCAAAGUAACGUGAGAUAGAAAUCUAAAUCCUGAACAGAGAAAGGAAGCUGCCCAAGUUUCCAAGAGCCUCCCGAUAGGUUCCAACUUUUCAUGCCUUUGUUUUUUUGGUGGUUGUUGGUUGUUUUUGUUUUUUUAAGUUGUUUUUGUUUUUGUUUUACAAGUUCUCUUGUUUCUGAGAAGGCACACGAUGUUUAGCCGCCGAGUAAUCGAAUUUACUCUUCUAGACUGAGAUUGAAUUAUGGAUGACUUAUGGGAAAAUGUAAAAUAAUGUGGAAUAAAAGGAAAGGAAAGAAUGAAAUAGAAGAGAAACUAAGGAGGCCCCAGCAAAACGGCAUUCUAGUUUUUUUGAUUUGCAAUAUGUGAUUGAGGCAGUAAACUGUCGUAUGCACAUUUCAUUGUGAUCGUCUACUGAUAAAUAGCACACGAAAAUAAUCUUGUUUAAUCAGGCCCAGGAGAUGAAACUCAUAUUGCUUCCUGCCUUAAAGGAACCUGAGGUCUUCAAAGAAAAUUGUCUUUUAUGAAGAGAACCGCUUUUUCACGUUUCAUGUGUUCUCUGAAGUGUCCCUGGUGCAACCUGCUGAUCCAGAGUGUAAGGUACGGUCAUGACUCUGCUUUUGCUACAGAUCAAGAACUCAUAUAGGGUUCUUAGACAACAGGAGCUUCUUGAGAGCGGGG